rnacentral:lncRNA from 1 species
AAAUAAUCUAUCCUUUAUACAUAUUUUGUCUUCAUUAUUUAUAAAAAAAACAAAAAACAAAUUGUAUAACAAAAAAUAAAUCACAAAAACAAAUUCAUCACAUGGUGAGCAAACUGCUGAGGUAACCAGAGGUUGUGUGGAACAAUUAGAAGUAGUAAAAAAAAAUUGAGAGAAAACAAAAAACAAAAAAACAAAACAUCAAAAUAUACAAAUUUAUAAAACGAAAUAAAUAUAAUUCACAUUUUCAGGGAAGGCCCAUGGAAUGAAUUUGGGCAAACAAAUGACCAUAAAUGUACAAAGGACAGUUUGGCUAAGUAUAUGAGAACAAAAUGUACAGUGUUGAAGGCUCUUGUCUUCAUAUAUAAAUGUCUUUUAGCCCAUUGUGGGGUUUGAGAUGAUAAUUUACAAAUGUAAACAGAGUGGGAGUAUUAAUUAUAAUAAAAAAAAAAAGGAAAGAAAGAAGAAAAAAAAAGGGGGAGGUGCAUUCAAAAUACUUUUGGAAAGAUGUUUUUUUUUUUUUUGUUUUUUUUUUAAACAGUCCCUUUAUAUACAUAUAGUACUGCAAUAUUAUUAGAUUCGAUAGAAAGGUUCCUUAUGUAAGGCUACACACAGCAGCCAUCUUGUUAUUAUAAAUAUCUCAGAGAUAUUUUGUUUUUUUAAACAUGAAAUCUUAAGUAAAAUCUGGCUAAAAGGUUAUUUUUUUCCUUUAGUUUGUUCCAUUUUAAUGUUUUUGCUAUAGUUAGUCAAGUAAUAAUAGAAGUAUUAAGAAGUCAGAUAACGUCAGAAUGCCAAUAGCCAUCCAUUAAACUGCACAGCGUAGGAGCCUAUAUGCAUAUCCCAAAAUAAGCACAUGAUCUUAAACAGUCCUGUUUUUUUAGACAACACAUUGAAGUGGGACAUGUAAAAAACAAAAAAAACAAACAAACAAAAAAAAAAAACAGAAACAUCUAUCCAGAUUCCGGUAGGACAUGAUAUUGUGCUAAAGAAAAUGACAGGUAUGCUUUAGUAUUGCUUAUAAAUUGAGGAAUAGCCCAGGAGUACCUCAGUAUCAUUUAGAUUUCUAUUUAUAAAGUUUUUGGUAAUGUAAUUACAAAAGUGUGUAAACACUACUACAAGGUGACGCAUAACAUCAGCUUCUACUAAUCAUAGGUGGCCAAUUUUCACAUUAAAAAGGCAGACACCAUAUUUGUUAGAAAGAUAAUCUUUCUGAACUUAUAUUUUGGGAUACAGUUUAAGCUUCAUAAAUUCAGGGUAAUGAAAAUCAAUGUAUAAAAUAAGGUAUAUCAUCAUGUUAGAAUAGACUGCUGUAGAAUUUCUGCAAAUUAAAAAAAUAAAAUAAAAAAAAAAGUUUGUAUUCCUUUAAUAAAGCAGCUUAUGGUGAAACAAACAUACAGACCGUUAUGAAAAAGAAUGGACUAUUCUCUUUAAACAAUGUGAGAUACACACUCAUGUGUAGCCAUUCUUGUUCUGAAAGCCUGACCUUACAUAAGUAUAGAUGGGAAUAUUGUAAGGUAGAACAAUGUUUUUUCUAACUCCCUGCCAUCAAAAAGAUUUUCUUAAUAUCUUGUGUUUUCCGACACAAUAAAGCAACUCCAGAAAGCUACUGACGAGGGUAGCACAGAAAACAUGGGGCAAAAUGUGUAAUAACUAAAGUAUUGGUUAAAUUACUCAAAUUUGUACUAAAACUCAGUUUCAGAAUAUUAGUGGCAUAUUUCUGUAAUUUCUAAAUAUUAGGUACUUACACUCAACAAAAAUGUAUACCAUGCUAAAAUUUGGUUAUAACCAUAAUCCCCUGGUAGUAUAACAAAGUAUGCACUAAAAGGUUAAACUGUCAAAAAUAUUUGUGUUAUUUUCUGCAAGUUUGACACCCAAAUACAAACAAUAUUUUGCAGUCUGUGCUUUACAGGGAAAACAAAGUUAAAAUAUUACAUUUGUAUUGCUUAUGUAUCUAGAUGCUGAUCUUAGAGAAAACUCAAGGUCCAAAAGCCCGUUUUAAUUUAAAUCUUUACUCACUUCUCCCCAACCCAAAAUCUGACAUUUUUUAAUGUUAACUGCAGUGUAAAUCUGGUGACUAUUUUACCAUUAUUGUUUUAUGGUCAUCUCUUCUAAUUUUAGAAUGUUAUUUAGUUGACCUAGCUAUGUAACAUGAUUAGAAGAGGACCUAAAGUUGUUUUUCCUUUCAAUCUUUUUUUCUAAUUUAAUAAUAUCCUGCCAAUGUCCCACCUUCCUCUUCUCAGUCUUUUACGCCGUUAAUUAUGUUGUUUUGUUAAUUACUAAGAUUUGAAUUCCUGUGGAGUAGAUUCUUUCUUCACCUUCCAGUGAGUCAUAUACUUGGCGGGAGCACUCUGAAUGUGUGGAUUUAGAAAAGGAGAUGUGAUGUCACUUCCCAUUCCCCUCUCUCAUGUCACACAGAGUGACCACAACAUGCUGUGAAAGUGAAGAUGAAACCAGGAACGGGGGCAUCAUACGACUGCAGUAUGCAGGCGAGCAUACUUUCACUUGCAGUUAAGAACUGGUGAUUAUACCAGGUACUGUAAAUAUAUAUUGGCAAUGAUCACUGGUCCUCUCUGGCAAGUGAAAGCAGAAGACUGGGGGACAGGUAAAAAAAAAAAAAGUGUAAAAAACAAACACACACACACACACACACACACCCCAAGCAAAUCAAAAAACUGCAGCAAUAAAUUUGCACAUCUGGUUUUCCAUCACUAUUGAGCUAAAACUACAACUGUAAUAGUAACUGCCCACAUGAUGGAAAGUAAGAAGAAAUGCUGUGUUUGGCAGCAUAUAGUCCCGCAGUUGUCAAUUCUAUCCAUCUGAACCACUAACACUGUGUCACAAGGAGACUGCAGUAAGGGCUCCAUAAGGGAGGGAUUAAUCUGUUCAUUAUGCAUGUGUCUGUCAUAUUUCACAGGAAAUGACAUGGAAAUAAUGUGACAUGCUAGGGUUGAGAGAGAGAAAACAAUCAGUCAAACAAAGCUUAAUGAUGGAUUAUGGGAAAGUAACCAUGGGUAGUGAGCGAAAGCCUGAACAAGAUCCAAACAUUAUCAAAAACUGCUAAACAUUAAAUUCCUCAUAAGAAAAAGGAAGGAAGAGAGAAGAAGUGAAUUACAAGAUAAACAAAAAACAAACUAAAAAAGUAAUUAAGCACAUAAGUGGGUGAAUAUUCUUAAAGAGCUUUUAUACAAUAUUCAGAAAAAAGGGGCACAAGGUAAACUAAACCCAAUUUUAUCUCAUAAUACUUCAAAAAUUUACACAUCUUGAAAAAGCAAAAAUAUAUAGCCAGUAUUUGAGAAUUUACCAGUACAGUGCUAAAAACAACAUAACAGCUCCACUUUUAGUGCUCGUAUAGAGAAAAACAAACAGCGUAUUUCUCUGGCACCAAAGGAGCAACAUUUACUAAAAAUCCCAAACUAAAAAGCCUGACUGAGUUCUCAAUCAGAUGUGAGCCCCUUAGAUAUUCUUCUGAUUCUCAUCAUGAAGCCAGAUCUGUCUAACAUUCUAUCUUAAUACAUCUCACCUGUAAUAUUUAGAGAGGGUCAAGAAAACAGAGGCAAAAAGUGCAAAUGCUCCCAUCUGUGACCUCUUGAUACAAGAAUAGCUAUGGAAGAUGAAAAACACAAACAACAUAUGAAGUGGGUGUGCAAAAAGCCAUCCUCCUCUGAAAAUAACAAAUAUAGACAAACCCUUCAAAACAUUUAACAGUGUUCAGAACUUAAUGGAAACAGGUUAGGUGAGUCAAAGGGCCAAAAAUAAACCCUUUAUCACAAAUAUUUAACUUUUCUUAACAAUAAUAUAAACAAAUAAACCUUAAAAAAAAAUGUAAAUAACAGGAUACAAGUGUGAGACGUUUGGUCCAUCAGUGGGCAUAGUUUGUGUCAUCUGUAUAAAGACAUAAUCCAUUCAUUUGUGUAACAUCAGGCACUUAGUAAAAUUUCAGCCUGAUCCGUUUUACAGUAACAAAAACUUGGGGAUGGUGCCUGCAAUCCACCAGGUUACCGGGAGUCUGUUUAUCAGAUAAAUUCUAUAAUGAAUGUAAAUGUGCUUCACGACAGCCAAUCACAGUUAAUUUGUUUUCCACUGGAUUCUCCAGUCCCAAAAUGGAAUUCACUCAACUACCAUGUGACAGGUCAAGUAAGGCAAUAUGAAAACAGUAGGGCAAAGUAUGGAGGCGCAAUACACUAAUAAAAAGGAUAAGACUUUAAGACUUGAAUGAAGACUGGAAAACACGUGUAGACAAAGCGUAGUGUGUAAACAGUCAGUGCACA